AGUAAAUUGGUUAAGUUAGAAAGGGCGCACGGUGGAUGCCUUGGCACUAGGAGCCGAAGAAGGACGGGACUAACACCGAUAUGCUUUGGGGAGCUGUACGUAAGCGUUGAUCCAGAGAUUUCCGAAUGGGGGAACCCACUAUCUUUAGUCGGAUAGUAUCCUUACGUGAAUACAUAGCGUGAGGAAGGCAGACCCAGGGAACUGAAACAUCUAAGUACCUGGAGGAAGAGAAAGAAAAAUCGAUUUCCUGAGUAGCGGCGAGCGAAACGGAAAGAGCCCAAACCAAGAAGCUUGCUUCUUGGGGUUGUAGGACACUCUAUACGGAGUUACAAAAGAAAGUUAUAAAUGAAGCGGUCUGGAAAGGCCCGCCAAAGACGGUAACAGCCCGGUAGUUGAAAUGGCUUUCCCUCCAGAGUGGAUCCUGAGUACGGCGGAACACGUGAAAUUCCGUCGGAAUCCGGGAGGAC
rnacentral:rRNA from 1 species